rnacentral:rRNA from 1 species
UACGGAGGAUGCGAGCGUUAUCCGGAUUUAUUGGGUUUGAAGGGUGCGCAGGCGGCGUGUCAAGUCAGCGGUAAAAUGUCGGGGCUCAACCCCGGCCGGCCGUUGAAACUGGCGUGCUCGAGUUGGAGAGAAGUAUGCGGAAUUCGUGGUGUAGCGGUGAAAUGCAUAGAUAUCACGAAGAACCCCGAUUGCGAAGGCAGCAUACCGGCUCCACACUGACGCUGAGGCACGAAAGCGUGGGUAUCGAACAGG